GGAUGGGAGGGUGAUCUGGCGGUAGUGUCACCCCACUGAGAGUCUGGGUUAGUGGGGCGGAUCUCUUGGGCUUAGCAAUAUCCUUUCCCUCCCUCACUGCUAUAUAUGGGUCUUUCCCAAAGCUAGACAUUCCGUUGAAGACAAUCUUCCCCAAAAGAUCAGAACAGUCUUCGGUCAAGAGUAUAUAAGUAGUUGUGCUAACCUAUAAAAAUGAACUGUUUAUAGGAGAACAUAGGAUAGUCAACUUUCCAAGGCUGCAGAUACAGCAAAAUAAGGCUCUAUACUGUAGGGGUUUUUGUU
rnacentral:snRNA from 1 species